GAGGCUUUAGUGGCGCAGCUAACGCGAUAAGUAGACCGCCUGGGGAGUACGGUCGCAAGACUAAAACUCAAAUGAAUUGACGGGGGCCCGCACAAGCGGUGGAGCAUGUGGUUUAAUUCGAUGCAACGCGAAGAACCUUACCUGGCCUUGACAUACUAGAAACUUUCCAGAGAUGGAUUGGUGCCCUCGGGAAUCUAGAUACAGGUGCUGCAUGGCUGUCGUCAGCUCGUGUCGUGGGAUGUUGGGUUAAGUCCCGCAACGAGCGCAACCCUUUUCCUUACUUGCCAGCAUUUCGGAUGGGAACUUUAAGGAUACUGCCAGUGACAAACUG
rnacentral:rRNA from 1 species